rnacentral:rRNA from 1 species
AGGCAGCAGUGGGGAAUAUUGCACAAUGGGCGCAAGCCUGAUGCAGCAACGCCGCGUGGGGGAUGAAGGCCUUCGGGUUGUAAACCCCUUUUAGCAGGGAAGAAGCGAAAGUGACGGUACCUGCAGAAAAAGCGCCGGCUAACUACGUGCCAGCAGCCGCGGUAAUACGUAGGGCGCAAGCGUUGUCCGGAAUUAUUGGGCGUAAAGAGCUCGUAGGCGGUUUGUCGCGUCUGCUGUGAAAGUCCGAGGCUCAACCUCGGAUCUGCAGUGGGUACGGGCAGACUAGAGUGUGGUAGGGGAGACUGGAAUUCCUGGUGUAGCGGUGGAAUGCGCAGAUAUCAGGAGGAACACCAAUGGCGAAGGCAGGUCUCUGGGCCAUAACUGACGCUGAGGAGCGAAAGCGUGGGGAGCGAACAGGAUUAGAUACCCUGGUAG